rnacentral:sRNA from 1 species
UCAAAGGAGAUGGUGUGAUAACCACGGAU